CAGCCGCCACGGGAAUACGAAGGGUGCAAGCGUUAAUCGGAAUUACUGGGCGUAAAGCGUGCGUAGGCGGUGAGUUAAGUCUGCUGUGAAAUCCCCGGGCUCAACCUGGGAAUGGCAGUGGAUACUGGCUCGCUAGAGUGUGUCAGAGGAUGGUGGAAUUCCCGGUGUAGCGGUGAAAUGCGUAGAGAUCGGGAGGAACACCAGUGGCGAAGGCGGCCAUCUGGGACAACACUGACGCUGAGGCACGAAAGCGUGGGGAGCAAACAGGAUUAGAUACCCCAGUAGUCCCUGUCUCUUAUAC
rnacentral:rRNA from 1 species